rnacentral:rRNA from 1 species
UAACAGGAUUAGAUACCCUGGUAGUCCACGCUGUAAACGAUGUCGACUUGGAGGUUGUGCCCUUGAGGCGUGGCUUCCGGAGCUAACGCGUUAAGUCGACCGCCUGGGGAGUACGGCCGCAAGGUUAAAACUCAAAUGAAUUGACGGGGGCCCGCACAAGCGGUGGAGCAUGUGGUUUAAUUCGAUGCAACGCGAAGAACCUUACCUACUCUUGACAUCCACGGAAUUCGCUAGAGAUAGCUUAGUGCCUUCGGGAACCGUGAGACAGGUGCUGCAUGGCUGUCGUCAGCUCGUGUUGUGAAAUGUUGGGUUAAGUCCCGCAACGAGCGCAACCCUUAUCCUUUGUUGCCAGCACGUAAUGGUGGGAACUCAAAGGAGACUGCCGGUGAUAAACCGGAGGAAGGUGGGGAUGACGUCAAGUCAUCAUGGCCCUUACGAGUAGGGCUACACACGUGCUACAAUGGCAUAUACAAAGAGAAGCAAACUCGCGAGAGCAAGCGGACCUCAUAAAGUAUGUCGUAGUCCGGAUUGGAGUCUGCAACUCGACUCCAUGAAGUCGGAAUCGCUAGUAAUCGUAGAUCAGAAUGCUACGGUGAAUACGUUCCCGGGCCUUGUACACACCGCCCGUCACACCAUGGGAGUGGGUUGCAAAAGAAGUAGGUAGCUUAACCUUCGGGAGGGCGCUUACCACUUUGUGAUUCAUGACUGGGGUGAAGUCGUAACAAGGUAACCA